rnacentral:rRNA from 1 species
AACGUAGGACGCAAGCGUUAUCCGGAAUUACUGGGCGUAAAGAGCGCGUAGGCGGGUCAACAAGUCAUGCGUGAAAGCUCCCGGCUAAACUGGGAGAGGUCGGAUGAUACUGUUGGUCUUGAGUGUGGCAGAGGCGUGUGGAAUUCCGCGUGUAGUGGUGAAAUGCGUAGAUAUGCGGAGGAACACCAGUGGCGAAGGCGGCACGCUGGGCCACAACUGACGCUGAGGCGCGAAAGCAUGGGUAG